rnacentral:rRNA from 1 species
AUGAGUAUAGCCAUUGCAUCAUAUUAUUUAUGCACUUUUGCUUCUAAUGGUUAUGUGCAAGAGAAGAGAACCAUCAUGAUGAAUGAUGUGUUUAUCUACCAUGCGCACACGCUCUUUGUUUUGUUGUGUGCAUGUGUAGGAUACUUGGACUUCGUGUCGACUUCCACUUCAUGUGAGUUGACAAUUCGAGCUCUUGAGAGCAAACCACCUUCUACCACGACGAGUCUACCUCGCACCUACUUGUACUUCGACAUUGUGAAGGACGCACAAGCACAUGCUUUCGAGGUGAUAUCCUUCUCUUUCGAGAAACACAAAACCAUGAGCAUGGAUAUUGUGGAUCACACUACUUGUGUUACUUUCACUAUGAGACUUAUUAGUCAUCUUGGACUACUUGAUUGCACACAUGUUAGAGAUAGUGCUUUCAUUCAUGAUUUUCACAUUGCUAUGCCUCAUGACAUAUAUGCCUUGUGUGUUGCAUCCAACUUGUUCAUUAUUUGCUCCUAUCAUAUGUUUGGUUGCAACAAUGUCAUUUCUUCACGUACGCCAUGCACCUUUGAUUGUCACAUGAUUGAAUUGAUUGCCUCACACAUGUUGAACAUUUGCUCUUUUCAUUUUGUUGAGUGCCACGAUAUCUUCACUACACCCUAUGAACAUUAUGCUUGGAUUGUCUUGCACUUGCCCCAUGUGUUUAGACACAUCAUUAUAUUUGGUGUUAUGGAUGAUUCUUAUGCCUAUCAUAGACCUUUUGUUGAGCACUUUGCACAUUCUUGCUAUGACCUUGAGGUAGAUACUUGUUCACUCGUCAAACAUAUUUGCAUCUCUACCUCCCAUUUGCAUGCUUGUUUCCAUGAUGUCCUUGAUUGUGCUCAAUUUAUAUGCUUAAAUGCCAUGCCACACUUUGUCAAACCAUAUGCUAUGCUUGAUGACGACACUUGUUGGGUGAAUCACCUCUUGAAUGCUUGA